GAUGAACGCUGGCGGCGUGCCUAACACAUGCAAGUCGAACGGAGAUUACAGACGGAAGUUUUCGGAUGGAAGUCAGUAAUUCUUAGUGGCGGACGGGUGAGUAACGCGUGGGCAACCUGCCCUAUACAGGGGGAUAGCAGCUGGAAACGGCUGGUAAGACCGCAUAAGUCGUUCUGGUCGCAUGACCGGGACGGGAAAUGAGUAAUCAGGUAUAGGAUGGGCCCGCGUCCGAUUAGCCAGUUGGCAGGGUAAGAGCCUACCAAAGCAACGAUCGGUAGCCGGACUGAGAGGUCGGACGGCCACAUUGGGACUGAGACACGGCCCAAACUCCUACGGGAGGCAGCAGUGGGGGAUAUUGCACAAUGGAGGAAACUCUGAUGCAGCGACGCCGCGUGAGUGAAGAAGUAUUUCGGUAUGUAAAGCUCUAUCAGCAGGGAAGAUGAUGACGGUACCUGACUAAGAAGCCCCGGCUAACUACGUGCCAGCAGCCGCGGUAAUACGUAGGGGGCAAGCGUUAUCCGGAUUUACUGGGUGUAAAGGGAGCGCAGGCGGUUUUGCAAGUUGAGAGUGGAAGCAGGGGGCUCAACCCCCUGACUGCUCCCAAAACUGUAAAACUUGAGUAUGGGAGAGGCAGGCGGAAUUCCUAGUGUAGCGGUGAAAUGCUUAGAUAUUAGGAAGAACACCGGUGGCGAAGGCGGCCUGCUGGACCAAAACUGACGCUGAGGCUCGAAAGCGUGGGUAGCAAACAGGAUUAGAUACCCUGGUAGUCCACGCUGUAAACGAUGAAUACUAGGUGCUGGGAGACAUAAGUUUUUCGGUGCCGUCGCAAACGCAUUAAGUAUUCCACCUGGGGAGUACGUUCGCAAGAAUGAAACUCAAAGGAAUUGACGGGGACCCGCACAAGCGGUGGAGCAUGUGGUUUAAUUCGACGCAACGCGAAGAACCUUACCCGGUCUUGAGAUCCUCCUGAAUACAGGGUAAUGCCUGUAGUCCUUCGGGACAGGAGAGACAGGUGGUGCAUGGUUGUCGUCAGCUCGUGUCGUGAGAUGUUGGGUUAAGUCCCGCAACGAGCGCAACCCUUAUCCUUAGUAGCCAGCGGUUAGGCCGGGCACUCUAGGGAGACUGCCGGGGAUAACCCGGAGGAAGGCGGGGAUGACGUCAAAUCAUCAUGCCC
rnacentral:rRNA from 1 species